GAUACACUCAAAUCUGUAGUCCCGUCUCCAAGUUGACCCAUAUAUAUAGAUGCCCGUGUGCUCCUCAUCCGAUUUUUGGAAAAAUCAAAAGAUCGUGUGCCCUAUACCUCCAUCCCGAUCUCGCUGGACUUGCGCCGCCGACAGAAGCUUUCACGGGAGCACCGAACCGAGCGCUACAACCUCGACCAGAAGCAGAGCACCGCCGCCUUCGCUCCAGUAGUCCAUCGACGCCACCAGAGGGCGUGAUCCUCCCCGACGAGGCUCCCUUUGUCUUCACAGGAGAGUUCUGCGACCGCCCGUCCCUUCCUCCACCGCCGGAGACGCGCGGAAGCCAUCGCCGUCUUUCCCCCUGGUCGCUCGCGCCGUCGUCUUCUUCAGGUCCGGCGCGCAGCUCCUCUGUUCUCCGAUUGUCCAGAGUGUGAAGCGGACCAGAAUUAAGCGUUAGAGUACUUCAACACCGUUCAAGGCAAGUUACACUUUUGAUUAUGCUCAUCCUAUAUGUCUGUUGUGCACUGUUAUGAUAUGUUAUAUGCUUGGUAUGACUCUUAUAUUGCUUGUCGCCAUGUGCGUGUCAUGUUUGCAUUGUUUAAUUGUAUGCUUGGAUUUGCUAUGGUAGACGUGGGUAUGUGUCGAGUGGUGCAUGGAAGUGGUGAGUCUUUAUAGCUGUAGGCUCGGGACUUUUUCUCAGGUGAAUGCGUCAAUGGCUGAGCGCUCUAUUGUCCCUAGAGAAUGCGCCAUGACUGAGCGCACUUGGGUUGUCGGGGCUUUUUCUCACGUGAAUGCGUCACUGGCUGAGCGCUCUAUUGUCCCUAGAGAAUGCGCCAGGACUGAGCCCACUUGAGACAUCUUGAAGAUCUUUAUCAUCUGUGUUGUUUGCACCUUGCCUAUGUCGUGGAGGUAGGUGAAGGUAGUUUUACGCGAAACCAACUUGAGUGUUUUGUUUGUCAUACUUUGCAGGUAGAUGUAGGUUUGCUUUAUCAUUAUGUGUAAUUUGCCAAUACAUUCAAUGUAUUGACCCUUUGUGGCUGCAACUUAUCAUGUUGCAGGAUUUUCAGAUGAUCAGUGAGAUAGAGUAGGGUCGGGAGUCUUCACUCAGCAUUUUCGCCAGUGGGCAUUGAUGGGAUUCAUCGUUUAUUAUGCUAUCUUUCCGCUGUUAUUAUUGAAUAAAG